GGAAUUGUUCAACUGAUAAUAUGUGAGUUAGGGCUGUUGAGAGCCCCCGAAUCAGCCACAGAGAAGCAGAAACCUAACAACCCUUGUGCUGUGCUUGAAGCCAGAACAUCCCUGGGUCUUCCAGUUAUCUCACUGUCCAAUCCCUGAGACACCAGAGAUAUGGACCAGAGAACAUUGACCAGGAACAGUCUGCUGACAUCUUUGACCAUGGCUGAUUUAAACACAUGUAUCUCUACAUUUCCAGGGCAAAGUAUAUCCCUGGUACAGAAAUGAGAAUGAGAAUGAAAGUUCUGCACCUGAUUGCUGGGAUGAUCAAGUAAGAGAGCAUUGAUGAAUAAGAGGACAUGUGACGUAAACAAUGUAACAGUUUACUGUGACUGAGAUGAUGAGGAUCAUGGAGGUGAUGUGGAUGGCCCUUGUGGAAACAGUCUGAAAUCAUAUACUUAUAUAUAGUUCACUUAUGAGCUAUUUUUUGUAUGUUUUUAAAUACCCAUAACAGUACCCAGGGCAGUGGUUUUCAAUCAGAGACAUUUGGAAAUAUGCAUAA